rnacentral:tRNA from 1 species
GCGGUAUUGGUGAAGUGGUUAACACACUGGUUUGUGGUACCAGCACGCAUGGGUUCGAUUCCCAUAUACCGCCC